GACAGAGGGUGCAAACGUUGUUCGGAAUUACUGGGCGUAAAGCGCGUGUAGGCGGCCCUGCAAGUCGGAUGUGAAAUCCCACGGCUCAACCGUGGAAGUGCAUUCGAAACUGCAGGGCUAGAGUCCUGGAGAGGAAGGUGGAAUGCUUGGUGUAGAGGUGAAAUUCGUAGAUAUCGGGAGGAACACCAGCGGCGAAGGCGGCACUCUGGGCUGGUACUGACGCUGAGGAGCGAAAGCGUGGGUAGCAAACAGG
rnacentral:rRNA from 1 species